UCUUCCACGUUGUUGCAUGGGAAUUAGCAAGCUGGCUUCAGCCUCUGCUGCUUCUUCAUUGUUUAGCUACAUGCAUUUUAGUCACGCUUCACAUUUUCUUUGAGCUCUCUUGUGGUAGUUUCUGGAACUCUCUCCCGCUGUCUGUACACUUGCUCUCAAUUUAGCUUGCAACGUGUCAAGUUAUGUGAAUUUAGAGAUUGAAAACAGAUGAUAUGCAGAGUUUAAUUCGUCUAUUUUAAAGAAGUGAUCUAAUCACGAGCUGGGCUUCAAAUUGUUAUUGUUGGAAACAGAAUAGUUAAGGUACAUGUCUGUAUUCCUUCAGAGAGAACAUUUUUUACUACGCCUUCCGGAAAAUGCCAAACAUAUUGGUCAAUGUUUUUUCAAAAAUGGAGGUCAAGACAUCAAACAAAAAUUGUGUCUUGUGUGAACCAUGAUUAUGUUUCAUAAACUGUACUGAUCAAUUAAAUUAUGACUGGAUCUCGUUAUACACCAACAUACUUAGCAACCCGUGUAUAUAUCACUGGAAGACGGACAGUUACC
rnacentral:lncRNA from 1 species